AUGCUACCAGACCGACAGCUGGCUGGGACAGAGAGGUGGCUGCAUCACCAGGACGUCAGCUGUUACAAGCACUUUGGAAGGAAGCAGCUCACGGCUCUCUGCUUAGACCUAGCCAUGACGAGGACGUCUACGUGCGUAUACCACUUGUUUGUCUUGAGCUGGUAUAUCUUCCUCAACUUUUAUAUCUCACUAGAAGGAAAGGAUCCGCAGAUAUCCCUAAUCUUUCAAAAGGGGGGAAAAUGGAAGUACCUAACACUGCUUAAUCUGCUCUUGCAGGCCAUUUUCUUCGGGGUGGCCUGCCUGGAAGAUGUGCUGAAAAGAACCAAAGGGGAAAAAGACAUUAAGUUCAUAACGGCCUUCAGAGACCUGCUUUUCACCACACUGGCUUUUCCACUAUCCACAUUUGUAUUUCUGGCAUUCUGGAUUAUCUUUCUCUACGAUAGAGAACUCAUUUACCCUAAGGUCCUAGAUACCGUCUUUCCAGUGUGGUUGAAUCAUGCAAUGCACACUUUCAUCCUGCCCUUCUCGCUAGUCGAGGUCAUCCUCAGACCACACUGCUACCCGUUGAGGAAGAAAGGACUCACUCUGUUGACUGCUGCUGGGCUCGCCUAUGUCAGCAGGACCCUGUGGAUCUACUCUGAGACGGGUACAUGGGUAUAUCCUGUGUUUGCCAAACUCAGCCCAGUGGGUCUAGCAGCCUUGUUCUCUCUCAGCCACAUCUUUAUCAUCGGCAUCUACCUAUUUGGAGAGAAGCUCAACCACUGGAAAUGGGACUUCCUGCCAUCGUGA
rnacentral:lncRNA from 1 species